GGGCGGUUAGCUCAGUUGGUUUGAGCGUGGUGCUAAUACGCCAGGUCGCGAGUUCGACCCCCGCGGGCCCA
rnacentral:tRNA from 1 species